UGGGAAAUAGGAUGGUUGUAGUCUUUGCUGAGAUGGGGCAUUAGCUAUUCUCCUCUCUAUUUUUGCAAAUUCACUGGAGUUUGGUUGUAAAGGGCCCAGCACCUCCCUGUGGCUUGUGAAAAUGGGAAUGUGGGCAGCAUUCAUCAGAGACUGAGGACCAGGGCUGGGGGUGCCCCCAGAGCCCUUUCAGGCCUGGCAGUUGCAACCUUUAAUUUGGGGACUAUUGUGGUAUUGUUGGUGUUAUUCAGGGUUUUGGCUUCAAGAAAAUCUGUGAUGAUUCCUUUGUUAUUUUACAGAAGUUGGUCCCAGGGGUUGGCACGUGACCUGGUAGUGUUGGUUCUCACAUUUGCCCAACACCUUUCCAGGAGAGCGCGCUGGCGGGAAGGGAGUGCGGUCACUUCGCUGACCUGCAAACACCAACUGUGGGUGCCUCAGGCUCUUGCUUGAGAAUUUUCCCAGGCUCAGUGCAUUUGUAAGUUUGCAAAAAUAACACAGCUGACUCUCAUCGCUUAGCCUCUAAACAAGACGAAGCUUCAUGGUUUGUUCCCUGGUGAGGAAAAAAGGGAGAUCAUCUAGAAUCUGGCCAGACCAUCUGGGUGACGUUUCUCAGCACUUACAUCUGUUGUGUAGUCCCUCUGACUUUCAGACUCAUCUCGUUCCUUUGAAUCACAGAUGCUCCUCAUGUUAUUUCUGGCAAAUUUCUAUCCAUCACACUGGCUUUCCUUUCAUGGUCCAGGAACUCAGCGUCUAUCCCUGAGGCUGAUGUUCUGCUCUGGGCUCUGACUUUGCCUGUGCUCCAGAGGUGCAGUGGUCACCAUGGAUCCACCCCCCUCUCCUGGGUGAUGGGGUGCACUGUCUCUGGGGUAGAAUGCCUUAUGUCUGUUUGCUUUCCCUGGGACCCACCAGUGGCCAGGAGCCCAUUCUGGCUUUCUGAAGGGGUGUCAUUGUCCUGACAUUGGCCACUGUCUUGCAGAUGGGUUUCAGCCCCAGACAAGUUCACUAUGGAUUCAAAGAGACCAAAUAAAUGACAAUGGAACACUCUUGGGGUGAAAGGGUUUAUAUCCAACUUUAUUCCCACGGUGGCAGGUCAAUCACUAGAAUCCCAUCCACUCAGGGCGAGUCUGCAUGCGGCAAGCCAGUCUCUGCCUCUGGGCCUCUCUUUCCCCGCAGCCGUCUCAGUCUCUGCCUCAGUGUUGCCACAACUCCAGUGUCUGCUCUCCUGCAGCCUUGCAGCCCUGCAGCAGCCGUGCCACCGUGCAUGCAGAGCACAGGGAGGAGCUCUUUAUAUAGAGUCAAUAACAGUGUACUGCCCACACCUGUGUAGUGAGCUAGCUGACCAGGGCCCGAAGGUGAUGACCUAUCUAUGGACAGGACGACCCCAGUGUUGAACUCUGGGUGCUGUACAAGGGCGUGCGUUGUCCUCCUGAGGAAACCAGGUUUUGCACAGCCAAACGGAGUGGAAGGUCAGCACUAAGGAGGAAAACACCCGUGAUUUUCUCUCGUAAGAAGCAGGAGGAUGCUUGGCUGCCCACCGGUUAUUAGAAGGAGAAGAGCUCACCCUGCUAGGACUCACUCGAAGCUGGCUACAGACCAGAGGCUGUCCGUGGGUCUUGGGGGCCCACCCAGGGGCACUGGUCAUCCAGGGUGAAUGAUGGGGUGGCCCUUCUCUUUGCCCAGACAACUCUCAUCAGCUAUGAACAAAUGUCUGCUGAAUGUUGCUCCCUGUUGGGUAUGGUGUCAGACCACACCCUCACUAGGGGAGAGAAAGCCCCUGGAACUGGACAGCAGAGGCUGGUCCUGGUUAAUGGGAAAGGUCCCUGAGGCUGGCCCGGGAUGGGGGAUGUCAGAGAGUGUUCCACAGGGCAGGGCUUACAGCAGCACUGAUGUGAGGGAUGGGCUCAGACCAUCUCGGAUGGCUGGGUCAGAAAGAAUCAAGCAGAACAGAGGAGUAGGAGACAGUCCUACAAAGGCAAAUGGUGUGAGCCCCGGUUCUCUGGGGUGGGCGGUCUGUGGGGACCAGGGCUGACACCAGUGAAGGCUCAUGUUGGGGAGGGGAGGUGGUGGCCUUGGCAGGCAGGGCCCCAAGGAGAUCAGCCCAAAGCAUUUGGACAAGGAGCAUCUUCGAUGGUUCUGGAGAGUGGCCAUGUGAGCAUUGUAUUAGACAAAUGUGCUAGAGAAAUGCAGGUUUGUUCUCAGGGCUUUCCCCUUUCUCUGCUCACUCUCUAAGUGGGGAGCUAUGUCUGGCUUUAGAUUCUUCCUUCUAAAUGCUGCCAACUUUCAUCAUCCUGCCAACAAACAUCUAUGUUCAAUCAGUGCAAUCGGUGUCAAACACAUACAUGACUGUGUAGUGUGUGUGUGUGUAACGUGCAAAUUUCUCUGCUCCCUGCUUUCCUUUCCGCUGUCCAGUGUAAUUCUCCAGUCUGGAGUCUGCCCUGAAUCCAGGUGCCUAUAGCCCACUGCCUAUGUCUCAACUCCACCUGGAUCUCCUGUAGGCAUCUUGGAACAUAUCCCCAGCUGAGCUCUGAAUCCAUGCUCCUGCCCCAGCCCAUUCUUCUCUCAGGCCUCCAACCCUCCCAGCCUCAGGAAAACACUCCCUUCUGCCAACCACUCAGGGUGCAAACCCUGGCGUCAUCUAUGACUUCUCUCUUUAUCUCACACCUGACACCAACUCUCCUUGAACUCUGUCCAGAAUUAAUCCCUUCUCCCCACCCCUGCACUCAAAGCCACUGUCACCACCAUCCCUGCUGGACCCCUGUUAGUGCCCAUGUGACUUCCCGCUUCUCCCCUUGCCCCACCUGGGCAGCUCUCUGCAUCCUUUAAAAACAAGUUGGGUCAUUUCACUCCCCUGCUCAAAGCCAUCACAUGGUUCUCCAUGUCCCUCAGAACAAUUUUCUAAGUCCUUCACAUGGCCUCCAGGGCUCCACGUGGUCUUGUCUGUGGCGCCUCUGUGUCUUUUUCUCCGACCAAGUUCGGACUGCUUACGUUCUCUUUCCUUACUAGACUCCUUGAGAUCCUUUAAUUUGCUUAUUAAUUAAUUUGCUUGCACAUGCCUGCCCUGGGGCCUUUGCACUAGCUGUUUUCUCUGAAACAUUUUCCUUCUGAUAUCUGCAUAGCUAAUUCUUUCAUUCCCUUAGGUCCCUUAUCACAGGGCCACUUUGUAUACAAUAGUAACCUCCCCUUCUAUCAUCCUUUUUUUUUAAAUAACCAAGAAAUAAGGCUCAUAUCAUAUGGUCUUUAUUAAAAUACCAAAACAUAGGAAAAGCAUUUCUAUUCAGGGACUUGGCCAGGCAUUUGAAAAACUUUUUCUAGUUCACUUGAGUUUAUAGAAGCAUUUCAUCUGCUUUUACAGAUUCACUGGUUAUGAUUAGGAUGUUAAGAGGUCAGUUAUUACCCAAGAAAUUUCAUGAGCAUUUGUAAUGAAAUGACCCUCUAUCAUUUAUCUCUUAACUAACCCUGCUUGUUUCUGUUUUCCUUAUCACCACUUGACAUUACUUUUGUUAAA